UUGAAAUUUCGAUUCGUGGCAACUAGUGGUGUCUAGUUGUUGCGCCGAUGUACAACGAUUAGACACACCGCGCCGUAUUAUUUAUCGUUAGAUGCAAUUAUUGAUUCAAAUUCAACUACGUUUUAAUAAGUCGACCAUAACGACGGCAUUGCACGCCAAGAACGGCCCCCUCUCCAAGAUUUUAUUUACUAUUUUCAUUCGAGUACCCCAACAAGGCGAUACUGAAGUAAACUGGACCGAGUAAAUCGACGUGAAUUAUCACAAUUGGUCGGAUUCGUUUGAGUUACAAUCUUAUACUUGCUUCUUGUCGGCUUACUCUAGGUAAAAUUGAUGAGGAUGACUUGGCGUACGCGUAUACCAUAAGGGUUACAUUUCACCGCGAUGGCUAAGAGAGGGAUGCAUACUUAUGUCCGAUAAAAUGCGUAUCUUGAUGGAAUGCUUGGCAGGUGUAUGGUGAACAUGAGAACUAGCUUGAAAGAUUUCAGGCUACUCGAUAAGCGUACUUCCUUCACAUGGGAUGAAAACAAAAAUAAGCUCAACAAGCAAUUUCACCUAGGCAAAUAAGGAUCAUUAAUGUAAUUGUACGUCAAAGAGAUAUCUAUAAAUAAAUAUCCAGAUGUCCAGAUUACCAUAAGGUUAGCGGUUUUAUUUCUAUAUGAUAAAACACGUGGUUUCAGCCGAUGGAAAAUUGUGGCCAGCGACUGCGCAGAAUGAAAUGUGUGAAUGGGGAUCCUUUGUAGUUUAUACGACUACAAAGUGAGGUAGAUCUGCUAAAUAUAUAACACCUUUGGUCGGCCAAGUUUCGUUAGCAAUAAAUGUAGUACGUUAAGCGGAAUUAGUCGUAAGAAAAUGCUCUAAGCUGAGCUGAGUCCAGCUGAGAGCAAACACAAGUGAACAAUGGGAAAAUUACGUACAAUUAUGUAUGGGUAUUAUGUACUUACCCCCGGUGAGAACCACUUUGUAAACGCGUUUUUGUUCCAUAAUGUAUCGGGCAGCGAUUAAUUUGUCGGUUUGUUUAGAAGAUGGAUUUCUAUUGAUAUAAGGUGUCAGUUAAUCUGGAGAUGAAUAGCGUCUACGGACGCAACCGAUACUACAUAAACACUUCGCUAUACAUGUCAAAAGUUAAUAGCAAUAGCAAUCGCGAAUAAAAAGACAUGAGAAACGUGACGAUGGUACCAAAAUAAAGUCAAACAAGUUACGUGCACUCCAACCGCGGGCUUGGAUUGAAGUGACUGGUGAGCCACCCGCGGAGCGAGAACUGCGGCCAGGCAGCUUCGAGAAACGAACGACACUCGGCCGGGUGUCGCGUGAAGUUACCUGACGUGGUUCAUCGUGAUAUCGACUUUCCAUAGACAUAGAGCGGGCGUUUUGAAAUCCAUUAUCGGAAAUAUAUCGCUCAACGUGGGGGGCCAUGCUUUAUUUCGAUCCUUUCUAAAUGAUAAUUAAUCGAAGGAACGAAUUACUGACUUGAUAUUUUCAACUUAGAAACGAUACAAUGGAUAAGUAAAAUCGGAAGUUAUAAAAUUGAUGCUUUCUCAACACACAAUUUGAUAUGUAAAUUCUUUUACUCUGGCACAAGUAUUGUUAUAAUAAUCACUUUGUCGAAUCGGCAAUAUUAAUGAUAGUAAUGAUGAUGGGAAUAAGUUUGCAAAAUAUGAGUAUAUUUUACAUUCACUAUGAUUUUUUGUCAAGUUACGUUACACACUGCUUAAACUAAUAAGACAGGCUUCAACUUUUAUCACUAAUUUAUUCAUUAGAAUAGUACGUGUGUGUCUUGAAAUUAUUCAAUUUCCUAAUGAUAAGGCAAGAUGUAUUAUGAGUCCAGUUUUACGUCUAAUUGUUAGGUAUAUUUUUACAUCUGAUUAGCCCUAA